rnacentral:rRNA from 1 species
AGUCACUGACAUUAGACUACCCGGGUAGUCCCAGCCGUAAACUAUGCGCGUUAGGUGUGUCGGUAACCACGCGUUACUGAUGCGCCGAAGAGAAAUCGUGAAACGCACCACCUGGGAAGUACGGUCGCAAGGCUGAAACUUAAAGGAAUUGGCGGGGAGCACCACAACAGGUGGAGCCUGCGGUUUAAUUGGAUUCAACGCCGGACAUCUCACCGGAUAAGACAGCUGAAUGAUUGUCAAUCUGAAGGUUUUACAUGACUAGCCG